UCCAUAAUUUUUUUGGGAGCAGGGACAGGUAGACUUCAGGUGUAUAGAACCUAAUUUAUUAAUAGAGAAAAUCCUAAAGUUCUUCAACAAAGGGACAGCAUAGUUAAUCUGAGGAAUUUGUUUUAAAUAUAGGCUUGGGAUACACAACUUUUUUCACACAAAACGUAUUCCUAUUUUCUUGAUUUCAGCAGCUGGAUUCAACAAGUAAAAGACUAUAGAGAUUGCAAGUCAAGAAGAGAGUGGUUUUUUUUCCAUGCUUGCUCUUAUGUGUGAGUUGGGCACCAAAAAAAGGACUACAGCCAGUGAACCAGCAAGAUGGGCAAAAGCUCUCUGCACACAGUUUCCACCUGAAGCUAUGUAGCAUUAACUAUGAGACUCAAGUUGCAGUCUGCUCUCUGGGAUUAUACUACCCAGUCAAUAGGCAGCACCAGAGCUAGCAGAGAAUAAAGCAGGGGUGAAAUUCAGCAGGUUUUGACAGGUUCUGGAGAACCGG